rnacentral:miRNA from 3 species
UGCAACAUCACAGUGACCACAU